rnacentral:rRNA from 1 species
CCUACGGGAGUCAGCAGUGAGGAAUAUUGGUCAAUGGGCGCGAGCCUGAACCAGCCAAGUAGCGUUAAGGAUGACUGCCCUACGGGUUGUAAACUUCUUUUAUAAAAGAAUAUAGAGAGGCACGUGUGCCUUUUUGUAUGUACUUUAUGAAUGAAGAUCGGCUAACUCCGUGCCAGCAGCCGCGGUAAUACGGUGGAUCCGAGCGUUAUCCGGAUUUAUUGGGUUUAAAGGGAGCGUAGAUGGGUUGUUAAGUCAUUUGUGAAAGUUUGCGGAUCAACCGUAAAAUUGCAAUUGAUACUGGCAGUCGUGAGUACAGUUGAGGUAGGCGGAAUUCGUGGUGUAGCGGUGAAAUGCUUAGAGAUCACGAAGAACUCCGAUUACGAAGGCAGCUUACUAAACUGCCACUGACAUUGAUGCUCGAAAGUGUGGGUAUCAAACAGGAUUAGAUACCCUGGUAGGC